GGAGGGCAGGUGGCAUAGGCGAUUGAGGGUCCUGUAUCGAGGGGGCUGCGACGGGAGCGCUGUGUACUCACAGUCGAGUGAGACCGGCCGUCGGGCCGGGGCAGCGCAGGGCGCCGUCGGGCGCGCAGUCGCAGGGCUCAGGGCAGCGCGCCUCGCGCAGCGCUCGUGGCAGCAACGGCUGCAGCAGCAGCAGCAGCUUCAGCAGCUGCAGCGCCGAGAACCGCUGCUUCAUGGCCGGCGAACUGGGCUUCUGCGGCUUGCCAGUGUCUUGGACGGCCUCUGAGUGCGGCCCGCACCCCUCUCCCCGCCCCUUGGCCUGCCCUUCCACACACCCUUCCCUGCUGGCCCGCCCCUGCCCUCCGCCUCUUACCGCGCGCCCCGCUGAGUCUGCUCUGCCUUGACCUGCGACAGUGCCCGGUGACCCCAUCAUCUGCUUCCUGCUACUUUCCCCUGUCUUGCCCCCUACCAUCUGCAAAUGGCCCUAGCUAUAGGAGUGCAAAAAACGGCUAUGAUCUACAUACCAAGGGACUUAGAAAGGAGACAAAAUUUUAUGGUAAUCAUGGGGAUGCAUAUCCCCUCUUUGAUUUGAUCAUUCCUUCCUUUCAAGGACUCUGUUUGGAUUCUGGAAAUCCUAGCAGUUUUGCUGGAAGAGGUGGACUUUGAAAGCUGGGAAGGCAUCUAAGGCUUUAAAGAGAGGAAAUAUAAGAAUAAAUUUCUUUCAUUCUGAAUCCAGCUCUCAAGGAUGGG
rnacentral:lncRNA from 1 species